UAGCUCAGUGGUAGAGCACGUGCUUGGCAUGCUCGAAGUCCUGGGUGCAAUCCCCAG
rnacentral:tRNA from 1 species